CAGAGUUCAUGCCCUCACGGGUAGAUCUCCCACCCUUGAAUAUUAUACCUUUGUUGCUUUGGCGGGCCGCUUCGGCUACUGGCUUCGGCUGGUGAGUGCCUGCCAGAGGACCCCAAACUCUGAAUUUAUAGUGUCGUCUGAGUACUAUAUAAUAGUUA
rnacentral:misc_RNA from 1 species